UCUAUCUAUCUAUCUAUCUAUCUAUCUAUCUAUCUAUCUUUCGUUUUUCGUUAUCUUGAAUCAAAGAUAGUAAUGUUUAAACUAACUGUUUAGUCACAAAGUUCAAAUGUUCAUUCUAAAUUGAACAAUCAACUAAGAUUGUUUAAAUUUUUCUUAAAUAAACUGGUCUCUGAAAAAAUGUGCGGAUUCUAUCUACACUAAACAAUCAGAUAAGAAAGUGAAAAUUUUCUUUAAUGAACCGGCCUGUUUUGAGACAAUGUGAAGGUUCCAUCCUACACUAAACCGGCUUGUGAUACUUAUAGACUCUUAAUAAAUUUCCUUGUCGUUUAUUAAAAGGACGGUUAAAGGGGUUUAACCCAAUGAACUGGCCUGUGAGGCGAUGUGUGGAUCGUAUCAGUUUAAGACUUAUGUUCUACGAAUUUUCCUGCCAAUCCUAGAUAUUUUAUCUGAUAUAUUAUUUAUUAAACUUCUUUACUCUGAUCACCAUUAUUUGUUCUACGCAAGGAAAGGGCUAUCAAUUAUUUUCCUGCUCCUGCCUCAAAUAGUAAAACUGCUCCAAUGGAUCCGAACUUGUGGGAGAAACCCAGCUUUUUGCGAAAUCAUCCUUCACCCUUGUUUACUCCUAGUGGAUGGGGUUGAACAACUAGGAGACCGUCUAGCUGACAACCAUGAUUACAGAUUCUUAGAGGUUCUAUUCAAAUCCGUCCCACAGCUCUUCCUUCAACUGUAUCUGAUAACUUUAAGAAACGUGAGAGGAAAACUGAUUCUAUUAGAGGGGGUUAAGAUCAGCAGCGGAGCUAUCUCCUGGGUUUGUGUAUGUACAACACUGUGCAGUACAGUACAUGUGCUCUAUCUACUCUGUAUACACAAUGAAAGGAAAGGAAUAAUUCCGCAAUAAAAAGACAUUUAUCCUACUCCUGGCAACAGCAAACAAUGCUAAAGACAAACUGAAAUUCAAAGAAAAACAUAUUUAAAGACAACAUGGAUUUCAACAACAGUAUUGUUAAAGAAGAUGUUGUGGAGUUCGUUUUAGUCUUACAAUAACCCCCUGCCAAAAAAAAUGCAAGGUAUAUUUGUAACUUUUCCUCUUUAAAUUGUUAUUGAGGGGAACUGACGAGGGUCAACCCAGACCGAAAUAUAUUUUCAAUAAAUGUGGAACUAACAUCUA